CGCAUCUGUGCUGCAGCAUAUCAAUAAGCGGAGGAAAAGAAACUAACAAGGAUUCCCUUAGUAACGGCGAGUGAAGCGGGAAGAGCUCAAAUUUGAAAUCUUCAAGGUUUCACCUUGACGAAUUGUAGUUUAAAGAAGUGUUUUCUGUUGAAGUUUUGGUAAAAGUUCUUUGGAAUAGGACAUCAUAGAGGGUGAGAAUCCCGUAUUUGACCAUUAUUUUCAGCUGUGUGAUACACUUUCAAAGAGUCGGAUUGUUUGGGAAUGCAGUCCAAAAUGGGUGGUAAAUUUCAUCUAAAGCUAAAUAUUGGCGAGAGACCGAUAGCGAACAAGUACCGUGAGGGAAAGAUGAAAAGAACUUUGAAAAGAGAGUUAAACAGUACGUGAAAUUGUCAAAAGGGAAGCGUUUGACACCAGUGUUGUUUUCUCGAAAAUCAAUUAAAAAGAGUUAGAUUUUGUUGUGUAUUGACCUUAACGGCUUGCAUUUCAAUUUUCUUGCUUUUUUUUAAUGCACUUUUCGUUUAACAAGUCAACAUCAGUUUCUUUUGUUGUAAAAGGGUAUGAGGAAGGUGGCUUUCUUUUCGGAGAAAGUGUUUAUAGCCUUGUGCCUCCUAGCAAUCGGAGAGAUUGAGGUCUGCAGCGUAGAUCCUUCGGGGUUAGAUACAUUUGUGCUAAGUUAUAGCUUUUCAUAGACAACUUGUUGACUAUGAUUUAGUCUUGUAGCUUACUCGCUUAUGCUAUUUUACCUACGCUUAGGAUGUUGACACACGCGCGUGCUCG
rnacentral:rRNA from 1 species